GUGCGAGCACGGCGAGGGGCGAGCCCGCACAGACCCGCGCCUGACGGCGUUGGGAGGGCCCCACGCCCCGGCCCGGCCCCACUCAGCGGCGCGUCGGGAGGAAGCGCCGGCCGCGCGGCCGCCAGCCCCUCGGCUCGCCCGCCCCCCGUCUCCUCCCCUCCGCAGCCGAUCCUCCGCCCCCUCCUCCUCCUCCUCCCGCUGGCGGCGGCGGCGGCUUUCUCGGCCCCGGCUCCCGGCUUUUCUCCGCGGCUUCGCCUCGCUCCUCAGCGGGAGGCUCCGCGCCGCGCCGCGCCGGCGAGGACGGCAGUGCUGCAAGGAGCCUCUGGGAGUUCCAGGGAGAAGAGACCAGCCUCUGUUUGGAGACCUUUGCUACGGGUCAAGACCUCCAAGCAGGUCAGGCAGACGUAGCAGGAGCUUGGAAGUUUUACAUCAAGCCUCCACUAGAGCAUUACAGUCCACCAUUCAGAGCCUGAACAGGAGCUCGGCAUUGUGCUUUUUCAGCACCAUGUAUCUUCAGAACUGAGGCUGGAGGAAAGAGGAAUUAAAUGUUCUGUGGUAUGGGAAAGUGUUCUCUUAUCUAGAGAAAAACAUAGCUGUACCAGUCUAAAAUAAAAAAUAUGAUUCACUGACUUGCUCUGAAGGUUUCAGCAUCCUUGGAACACUGCUGUAAGUUGUGUGCUUAAAAAAAAAAACCUGAGUUGUUUUUACAUCAUCAAAACUUUUUUAGUUUUAUAGUUUAUUUUAGAAAAAAAUAAAUGUGCAAUAUUUCAUGUAUUUGAAGUUUGAAUGUUUAUAAAUGCUUAGCCCGGGACAAUUAUGGUGUAGAAAUUAUUUUUAAGUAGCCAUGCUGACCUUACUGCAGCGAUAUGUCUUGGUAUAGAAAAGGAUAUUUAGUGCAAAGACUUGACAAACAGCACCCCACAGCUAAUCAGAAGAGUGACUGAAAGUCCUGCAUUGUCAGAAUGGGGCCACUCUGUUGUAUUCCACAGGGUGAACAUUGCCAUUUUUCUAAUAGUAUUGCUUUCAGCCUUAACUAGUUAAAUUGUGCCUACCUUAUUACCUUUUUGUGUAUUUGUAGUAUCAGUAGAAGAUAUUCAUUUUUUGUAUUUUAAUAUUAAUCUUAGAGUGAAACAGUUUUUUGUGUAUGUAAUUUAUUCAAAAAAAUUUCCUGUAUUGUAAGAUAGCAACAAGCUGUUAAACCUGAAAGGACUAAAAUCAGUAUAAUCAAUGUAGCUUUGUUUCCUUAUUUGUAAAAAUGUGUAUUACAAGAACUACUUCAUAUACCUGUGCACUGUUUCUUUCAAACGUAUUUUCAUCAAGUGCAAGAAACUUAAGAAAGAUGCUAGUUUUGAAACUUCAAGAAUGUGUGUUUUUAAAGUUUUCCUUACCAAUUAAAUCUCUGAUUACUAAAGGAAAGGAACUUUUAAAUCUGAAAGAUCUUUUCCAUUUAUAGUAGCUCUUCAUGGUCACAGCAUAAAUUUUGGGGUUGUUUUUCUUUUCCAGGCUGUAUUUGUUGACUCUGGAUCUUCAUGUGCUUAUACAUUUCUGGAAUUUUGCAGGCUUACAAGUGCAAGGGAUUGUCUGACUACAGCUAUUUUCAUUGUGGGUUUGUGGCCUUUUAAAUAAAAUCUGUUUAUAGCCGCGAUAUGAUGUUCCUUCAAUAUAUUUUGCUUUGCAAACAGUUUCAGAAAACAUUCUCAAUAAACAAUGUCUAAACAUGGCGACUUGAGAUUUCAGGAGGUUUGACCUUAUAUGACAUAGUCUGGUGAACUUUUUCCGCCCCACAAAAAUGAGUUGGCAGUAGCAGCUGCUGUCCAUUUGUGUACAUGAGAUCGGAGGUACUUCAUCUUCUGCGAAGUGGGAGACCGCACCAAUUGCCCAGCCUCCAAACUGGGGCAAGUUUCCCACCUCCCAGGGAAGAUUAUUGGGUAUUCGUGGGUGACUCUUCUUAUUUCAGCUGGAAGCUGUCCUACCUCCUAGAAAUUAAUUACGCAGGAGCAGUGUUACUAAACUGGUUUUCACACCAAGAACCCUAUUUGGGAUUUUUUUUUUUACUCUUUCUGUAAUUUAAAGAAAGCUCACAAAUAUUUGUUUCUAGUGGAAAACUUUUAAAAGUGCCGGAGAAAAGUCAGUCUUUACAUGCACUUUAUAGGAGUUCAAGCACUUGCUGUGGAGGUUGUAUUCCAGUCGGCAUUCCAAAUGAAGCGGAGGUAGAAGUGUUCUCUGUGAUAUCUUUGUUAGCCCCCGCUGCAUUUUGGUGGCCUGCAGCAUGCUCAGAGGGCACAUGCUGGGUUAAGCAGUGUUAAUGAGCAAGGACAGGCAGGAAAAUCUGUGGUUCAUCUAGAGCUUGGGAAUUAGCCAUCAGGCUUAGUUAGCCAUGUGCAUGCCCAUUAAUGUCAAUAACAUGGCCUCUCCCAUGCUGCGCGGCAGCUGUCUGCAGGGCAUGCCUUGAGCAUCCCUCUGCUCCUACGUGUUUCUUCUAGCUUCUCCCAGCUCCUUUCCAUGGGAAUUAAUCAUGGGAGAUGGGGACAAUGUCCAGGUUUUAAUCUAUUGGUGUUUAGGGUGUAGCUGGAGUCAGGAGAGCUCCGAAGUGGUUCUCAGUUUUGGUUAAAGCAGAAGUUGUUGUCUGAGGAGUAAGUGCUCCACUAAAGAGGAUCGGUUUGGGGGAGGGUACACUUAAGAAGUUUCCGAGCUGUUUCCUGGCUGCCUGAUUGCUGGUUGGGUGACUGUUGCAUGGAGCCUGUUUGUGAGACACAUGUCCCUGUGUGAACGCUGGAACAAGGGUGCUCUGGGUGUAUCUUAUGCAUUUUUGCAGAUAGAUGAUGUUGAUCUCCUUCUUCACUGACGCAUGUGAUUUAUACUGAACCAAUUAUGUAUGGAAACCACAAAGGUUUGGGCAGCUUCAAACAUGGCUUGCUCUUAAAAUGGGUUUGUUAGGAAUUUCCACAGAUCUGAGGUGCAAAUUAAUCUGAAGUGUUCCAUUUAGAACUUUUUUUUCAUCAUCUUAAUUAAAAACGUUUUGUUGUUCAGCCUCCCUCGGUUUCCUCCCAGUGUGCAGUGAUGGCACGCAAGGCUGGCCAAUUAAUUAAUUUUGCUACGCAUUGAAAAUGUCGCCUCUUGGAAAAUUAAUGCUUUACCAGGAUGCCAAAUCCAAGCAGGGCUGGAAACAUCAAUGGCCAGGGGCAAGGAGACCUGAGGUGCUGGCUUUUCCUCCUGGCACAGAGGAAGAGAGAAGAGCAGUGGAUAGCACUUGAUGAUCUCCAGAGGUCCAUUCCAAACCCAGCAGUUCUGUGAUUCUGAUGAACACUGAAAUGUUACGGUGCACUGGGGCCAAGCAUCUUCUGAUGAAGAAGACAUUUGGUCUGAUUUCUGAAAGUGCAGGGAAUCUUAGGGAAACUGUGUUGGGCCAGGAGACCAGAAUGAAGGGCUGUGUGGAGCUUGUAGAGCAUAUGCUUAAAUGUAGUGCCUAUGGAGAGAGACAGAAUGAAAAGAACGAAAGUGCUUUGAACUUGGGACCAUUGAGACUGGCUGAGGAGUGAGUGGUUGGGUUGCAACCCAAGGUCUGCCUAAAAGGUGUUGCCUAAAGUUUUGCAAAGUGUUUUAAAGAAAUAUUCAGGCAAAAUACACAUUAAAGUAGAAGUAUUCACAAAAAGCCAGAGCUACAAAUAUAACGAGAAGUUACAUCACAUUCCUUUAUACUUUUUAGGUCCUCUCUUGAAGUAUUUUUCAAUGAGAGGCUGAAAUUAUUCCAAAGAGUGCGGUAUGUUGUAAGCAACACAGGGGUUUAGAGAAAGCAGCAUUGAUUUCCAGUACUGCUUUUACAAACACAGUACAUAGUUUCUGUCUAAAUAAUAAGACAACUUGCUUUUUUCUUUUUUGUACUAUCUUUUUGGAAGAAAGGGAAAUUUCAUUCCUGAGGUUUCUUCUGUAUUUGCGCAGCUGCCUGCACCUUUUACAGAAAUCACAGUUUUCAUGUUUGGGCAGUAUUUACCCAGAAGCAAGUAUCGCUAACAGUGGAUUGUGUCUACUGGGUAAAACAUGUAA